rnacentral:lncRNA from 1 species
GCGGCACAGAGCUGCCCAGGAAGGGAUCUGAGCUGGGGAGAAAUUCGAGUUUAGGGACAAAACAAGACGUAGCGUUUUGGCUGCUGGCUCAGCCCCUAAUCUGCGAUGGAGGGAAAUGAGGAUUGAGCUGUGCCCGCGGGGACUCGGGGAUGCAGACUCCAGAGCAGACCGCGAGAAGGCCCAGAUACCACCGCAGCCGGUUCCGGCCGGAUUCAAACAGCCUCUUCCCCAUUCUCGGGACACCCACUCCACGCACUCACCAUUUCCCAGCCUCCAGAUGUUCCGCCGUCCUCCCUAUGGAUCUCCCAGUACCUGCAGGUCACAGGAUAACAGAAGCUAUAGUAGAGUCACCGAGGAACUCCAGGAACGGAGGAGAUGGAACAGUGGAGACGCGAACUAGGAUCAGAGCCCGGAAGCUAGGAGACAAAGGCCCCGCCAUAUUGAAGAGGCCGCCUCUUCCUCUGUAGCUGCGCACUUGAUUGGACAGUUUCACGCUGGCGCCACUGAUUGGCUAGGGCUCCAGGCCCCACCCGUUUCAAUCCUAAGUGACAGAAGAUGUAAUCAGACACUGGGCUGAAUGAGGCAAGGGUGACAGGUUUUUGCCUGCAGCGUUUUCAGGCGAGUCCUCCCUGUGCUGGGGGCCUGGCCCUGCCUGAGAGACAUUUGUAUUUAACCUUGCAUAUAAGAUUAUAUCACUUUCUGAUUAUA